GCUAGAGCAGCACUGCAACAAAGCCAGGCAACAACCACUCAAGGACAAGGAAGCACGCUUUAUUUGUUUUGUAUUUCUUACACCACAAAUUUAAUGAUUUUCUUUUCAGCUAAAACGGAAGCUAUCAAGAUUACAAUCGAUACAUCAGAAGCACUUCAUUGAAAAGGUAACCAUAGCAACGGACUGACAAGCAAAGGAUGCUGCGUCCAAGCUACAUCUGUCUGGUAGCAGGAGGAGAUCCCUUCGCCAUCCCAUACGAUUCCGCCAUGAAACUAUCUCACAACGGCCAGCAUAACGAAGCCAGCUGCCAUUGCUUAGAUGGACUGAAGCCUUCCAGCACCACACUGAGGAAAAAGGUGCUCACACGCUUAGUCACUGGUCUUGCAGUGACUGCUGCAGGUACCUGUGAGGGUUUCCUCCUCCCGAAAGGCCGGAGCUGGCCAACACUGUCAUGGCCAUACGCACUCGAGCGGUAACAAAACAGGGCUCAGCACCUAACGGGAGCCUUGGGGGCCCCCAAAGCAGCCCCGGGGGGCUCCAAAGCAGAGGAGAGGAACAACGAUUCUGUUGUGCGCACAGGGCACCGCAGCGCGGCUCUGCUCCAGCCCAGGCGGGGCUGUGCGAGCAGAGAGCAGGCGGGGGGACCCCGGCUCCGCCAGCGGGGCUCGGCCCCCCCGACGAGGGGCAACGGGAGAGCCUGGGGUCACCCCACGGGGAGGGAGAGGCAGG